GCUUUCCGGUCCGACGGGCGAGGGCGCUGCCGCGUCGCCCCUUCCUUGCACGAGGGUGCCCCUAGCCGGCCAAGUGGUCCUUGUCCACCCACCACCUCCAUCUGCUACCCGCGUCCAGAGCCUGCCACCAAGCGUGAGUCGCCCCUCCCUCCAACAGUCACGCCCCUGCCCUUCACCUCUCACUAACACCGCCAGGCUGAGGCAUUCCCCGAGCUCCCCCAGCGCAACCCCGCGCUGUCCCGGAUUUCCAGACUGGGUGAUUGGGGUCCCUUGUGGUGACCCAAGGCUGUGUGUGUUUAAACCUCUGUAGUCUGCGGGGAAGCCUGGCGCAGUGCCCACAGGUGCCGGGGUGGUAGGGAAGGAGUGCCUUAGCUGUCCGGACUGUCAACAGGAAGUAUGUCGUAAUUAAAAACAGUAACAAUAAUAAUGAAGAACAGCUAACAUUUACUGAGUGGUUACUAUGUGCUAAGCUCAUUUCACACAUUAAGGUUUAAAUUCUGCAGUAGAGGUUUAUCCAGCUUUACCGAUGAGGAAACAGGAAGAGAAACUAAAGGCCACAGAAUAGGUGACAGCUGUCGCUGGGAGAGAGCCCUGGGGAUCUGCGGCCACCCCCCUGCCCUCGCUGCCUCUUCCCUUCCCUACUCUGAGGUCGGCUGCCCUUGGCUCUCGGGAGGGGCUGAUGAAUCUGUCUCUGCAGCUGAUCUCACCCCCUCCCCACCUUGAUCUUUCACCCACUGUCCUUUUUCUGGGCAAACCUGUAAGCCCCCUCCCCAUUCUUCAUCCCCACCGCUCCUACCUUCAGCCCAGGUACAUCCCGAGCGCUAAGAGGGGAAGAGGCUAACAGGCCUCCGGGGCCUCAGGCUCCGGUGCUCUCUUCCUUGACAGAGGGCCCAGGGAGAGACCAAGAGCCUGGGAAUGACAUUUGGGUGAAUUUAACUUUUCGUUGCGCUUUGGAAAGGUGUAAGUUCCUUGCUCCCAGUCAGUGCCCAGGAUUCUCGAUCUAGUCACCAGAGAGUCACCUGGAGAAGCUGGUAGACUGGCCACGGCCCAGCCCUGCCCCACAUCUCUGAGCCUGGGCCCCAGGGCACCCUUCCCACGCUGCCGGUGCACCUGGGGCCUCUCGGGCUAGGCAGCCCAUCUCUUAACUCAGGCAAAGUGUCCCCGAGUGGGGACCCAACCCACCCCCUCAAGCACCGCCCGGAGCCAGGGAGACCCAGCAUGAGUGACCCCAAGACAGUGACGGACCUGACCUUCGCUGCCCACCUGACGCAAACCCGGAAGCAUUUCCAGCACUUUGGACACGGUCUCUGAAACACUAGCCACCGUCUUCGUCAUGUGGGCCUCCCUGAAAUAACCUCCUUUCUUCGUUCACGGUCUUGUGGUUUUGUCAGCAGCGAGUGGCCGAGCCUGGCCUGUUUGGGACCCCGGAGCCACAUGGUCUUGCGUCCCUGUGCCUCGGUGACACCUUCAAAGCAGCACCCUGGGUCUGGAACCCCAUUAGGGCCUAUGUCCCUGGACCCGCCACGCCAGAGGCAUGCUGUGACCCCACGUGGGAAAAGGCUGGCUGACCGCACCUUGCACGGGAGGUGAACUUUAUGUACAGGCUGCCUGAUAACAUGGGGAACUGUGUUCUCCCCCAGUUCCCAUGCCCCAGUCCUUACCCGGCACCUGAGAACGUGACCUUAUUUAGAAAUAGGGCGUUUUGCAGAUGUAAUCAAGUUGAGAAGUCGUCAGAACGGGCCCUGAAUCCAAUACGAUGUGUCCUUAGGGAGAGAGGAAGACCAGCCAUGGGAUGACGCGGGGGUAUGACGGCCACAUACAAACCACGGCCAGAGGCACAGAACAGACCCUCCUUCACAGCCCCCGGAGGGAGCCAGCCCCGUGGACACCGUGAUCUUGGGCCUCUCGUGUCCAGAGCCGGGAGAGACUCACUUUUGGCUGGUGAAGCGUCCUGGUCUGUGGCUCUUGGUUACGGCCACGCCGGCUACCCGUGUCCAAAUUCUGGCUUCACUCGGGCACACCACCGCUGGCUAUCGAGCCUGCCCCUCGUGGUCCGUGGGCGCCUUGAAGAUGGUGACCAUCUGGAAGCACAGGCUGGCGGGGCGCAGCUCAUCACGUGUCCCAGACCUUCCGAGGCCUUUCCAGAUUCAACCGUUCCGUCUUGGCAGACGGUGAAUCGGGAUUUUUGUCCCAGAAAAAUCGCUGUCCCCAGGUUUUCUGCGGCCAGACCGCUGCCUCUGCUGUUGGUAAUAAGGGCUGUGGGCCUCCCAAGACUUAGCCACCGUCACAGACACACUUUUACCCCCCACCCCCCCCAUCCUCAUGUUGAAGCCCUACCCCUCAAAGUCAUGGUUUCUGGAGAUGGGCCUUUGGGGGGCAAUGAAGGUUAAAUGGGAUCGUAGGGGCCAUAAGAAGCUAGGCCUGAUUUGAUAGGAUUAGGAUCCUUAUGAUGAAAUUUCGAAGUUUUGGGUUUGUGAGCAAAUGGCUAAGAAAAUUCUUGAGACGCUUUUGGUGCAUACAGGUGAUUUCUUUACAGCACGGGGACAGGACGCGAGGGCAGAAAGAGCUGCCUCAGAUUGUGAGCAGAGACUGGUUAUAGACUUAGGAGUCCGGGGGGGUCAGGGGCGGUGUAAGCGUCUAAGGAAUGUGGAAGGCCUGGUGCGCAAGGUCAGGGUGCGGGGAGUCCCUCUGAGACCCGGUGGGGAGUUGGCGCCAGCCUCUGCGGCUUGCUGGCGUCCUCGCCGGUCCUGGGCGUGCGGCCGCCUCUUCCGAUCUGUCUCCACCUCCUGGUGUCUGUGUCCACAUUUCCCCUUUUUGUGAGGACACCCGCCGUGUUGUUUAGCGCCCACCCUCAUGACCUCAUCUUAAGUUGACAAUCUACAAAGACCCUUUUAAGAUUUUUUUAAUGCUUAUUUAUUUUUAAGACAGACACAGAGUCUGGGAGAGACAGAGAGGGGGAGA